ensembl:snRNA U1 U1 spliceosomal RNA
GAAGUUAUCUGGCAAAAGUGAUUCCAUGAUCACGGAGGUAAGUUCCCCAGAGCGAGACUUAUGCAUUCUACCUUGGAUGGGUUAAUCCUUGCGCUUUACCCAAAUGCGGGAAACUCGAAUGCAUAGUUUGUGGUAGUGGGAGACUGCUUUCGUGCUCACCUCGA